AGUGAACGCUGGCGGCGUGCCUAAUACAUGCAAGUCGAACGGAGUGGCGCACGGGUGAGUAAUAUAUAGCUAAUCUGCCCCUUGCUGGAGGACAACAGUUAGAACUGCCUGCUAAUACUCCAUAGCAAGGGAUGCGACUAUAUCGUAUCAGCUAGUCGGUGGGGUAACGGCCUACCGAGGCUAUGACGCGUAACUGGUCUGAGAGGAUGAUCAGUCACAUUGGAAAUGAGACACGGUCCAAACUCCUACGGGAGGCAGCAGGAGGGAAUAUGGCGCAAGGGGGGAAACCAUGACGAAGCAACGCCGCGUGGAGGAGGACAAUUUGCGGAGAGUAAACUCCUUUUGUUAGGGAAGCGGUACCUAACGAAUAAGCACCGGCUAACUCCGUGCCAGCAGCCGCGGUAAUAC
rnacentral:rRNA from 1 species